rnacentral:rRNA from 2 species
AGAGUUUGAUCAUGGCUCAGGGCUAACGCUGGCGGCGUGUCUUAGCCAUGCAAGUCGAGCGGACUUAUGGGGUAACUUAUAAGUCAGCGGCGGACGGCGGAGUAACACGUAGCUAACCUACCCUCUGGACGGGGAUAACCUACCGAAAGGUGGGCUAAUACCCGAUGUAGUCAUCCUGUAUAGGGGUGAUGAAAGGUGGGCUUCUGUUUACAAGCUCAUGCUGGAGGAGGGGGCUGCGGCCUAUCAGGUAGUUGGUAGGGUAAUAGCCUACCAAGCCGAUGACGGGUAGUCGGCCUGAGAGGGUGACCGGCCCGAGGGGCACUGAGAUACGGGUCCCACUCCUACGGGAGGCAGCAGGCUAGAAAUUUGGGCAAUGGGGGAAACCCUGACCCAGUGACGCCGCGUGCAGGAAGGAGCCCUUCGGGGUGUAAACUGCUGUCGUGUAGGGAGAAGGGUACUAAGGUGAACAAUCUUAGUACUUGACGGUACUACAGGAGGAAGCCCAGGCUAACCUCGUGCCAGCAGCCGCGGUAAUACGGGGUGGGCGAGCGUUGCCCGGAAUUACUGGGUUUAAAGGGGGUGUAGGCGGUCUGGAUAGUCGGGUGUGUAAUGCAAUCGCUCAACGAUUGAGCUGCAUCUGAUACUUCCAGGCUAGAGGGCGGUAGAGGAGAGCGGAACUCCCGGUGUAGCGGUGAAAUGCGUAGAUAUCGGGAGGAACGCCGGUGGCGAAGGCGGCUCUCUGGGCCGUUCCUGACGCUGAGGCCCGAAAGCUGGGGGAGCGAAAGGGAUUAGAUACCCCUGUAGUCCCAGCCGUAAACGAUGGGCACUAGGUGUACCUUUUAACGGAGGUAUACCGUCGGGAAACCAAUAAGUGCCCCACCUGGGGAGUACGCCCGCAAGGGUGAAACUCAAAUGAAUUGACGG